rnacentral:misc_RNA from 1 species
UCUCCGCUGGUGAACCAGCGGAGGGAUCAUUACCGAGUUUACAACUCUCAAACCCCUGUGAACUUAUACCUUUACUGUUGCUUCGGCGGGUCAUUGCCCCGGGGAAACAGGCGGCCGUCAGGUCCCUGCCCACCCGGAAACAGGCGCCCGCCGGGGGACUCCAACUCUUCUGUAUUUUUUUGUUUACUGUAUACUGUCUGAGUAAAAAUUCAUAAUGAAUCAAAACUUUCAACAACGGAUCUCUUGGUUCUG